rnacentral:rRNA from 1 species
UGUCGGCAGAUCGCUCAGUAACACGUCGUUAAUCUGUCCUUAGGUCAAGGAUAAGCUUGGGAAACUGAGUCUAACACUUGAUAUGAAAUUAUUACUGGAAUGUAUUUUUUCUGAAAUUCGAGCCUAAGGGUGAGACGGCGGUGGAUUAGGUAGUUGGUGAGGCAAUGGCUCACCAAGCCAAAGAUCUAUAGGGGCCUUGAGAGAGGGAGCCCCGAGAAGGACACUGAGAUAUUGGUCCUGGCCCUACGGGGUGCAGCAGGCGCGGAACCUUUACAAUGCACGAAAGUGUGAUAAGGGGAUUCAAAGUGCUUAUGCUUUGCAUAGGCUUUUGCCAAAAUUAAGGCUUCUGGCGAAUAAGUAGUGGGAAAGACUGGUGCCAGCCGCCGCGGUAACACCAGCGCUACAAGUUGCAAUCAUAUUUAUUGGGCCUAAAGCGUUCGUAGCCGGUUUAAUAAGUCAUUUGCGAAAUUAAUGGGCUUAACUCAUUAGCGAGCAGAUGAUCCCGUUAAACUUGAGACCGGGAGGUGCUAGAUGUAUUUAAGGGGGAGCGGUAAAAUGCUAUAAUCCUUUGAAGACAACCUGUGGCGAAGGCGUCUAGCAAGAACGGUUCUGACGGUGAGGGACGAAAGCCAGGGGAGUGAACCGGAUUAGAUACCCGAGUAAUCCUGGCAGUAAACGCUGCGAACUAGGUGUUGCAUAUUCCAUGAGAAUAUGCAGUGUCGAAGCGAAGGUGAUAAGUUCGCCGCCUGGGAAGUACGGUCGCAAGGCUGAAACUUAAAGGAAUUGGCGGGGGAGCACUACAAGGGGUGCGACGUGCGGUUUAAUCUAACUCAACACAGAAAAUUUCACCAGGGGCGACGGCAGAAUGAAGGUCUUUUUGAAUGGAAUACCUGACGAGCCGAGAGGUAGUGCAUGGCCGUCGUCAGCUCGUACCGUAAGGUGUCCUGUUAAGUCAGGCAACGAGCGAGACCUAUAUUUACAAUUGCUAACUGCUUUUAGGACAGAGUACUUUGUAAAAACUGCCUUCGAAAGAAGGAGGAAGGUGUAGGCAACGAUAGGUCUGUAUGCUCCGAAUCCCCUGGGCUACACGUGCGUAACAAUGAUAAAGACAAUGGGAUGCAACUCCGAAAGGAGAAGCUAAACCUCUAAACUCUAUCCUAGUUCAGAUUGAGGAUUGUAAUUCAUCCUCGUGACGUUGGAAUCC